CAAGAAGGUGAAUGAAUGAAUGAAUUGAAUUGGAAGAAGCCGCUGAUGAAACUCGAAGAAGAAGAAGAAAGUUGCACUUCCUCUUUUCUCUCUUAUAAAACGUGUGAAACAGAAGUGAUGAGACUUCUGCUGCUGCUGCUGCUGCUGCUGUCGUGUGGAGUCGCAGCUGCAGUGAAACACUCUCUGAGGCACGUCCACACUGGAUCCUCUGAGAUCCCAAAUGUCCCCGACACUGUGGCUGUCGUGUUUGUUGAUGGAUAUCAGACAAACCACUACGACAGCAUCACCAAGAGGAUGGUACCCAAACAGCCCUGGAUGAGCCGAGUCUCAGAGGACGAUCCAGACUACUGGGAGAGAGAAAGUUUGUUCUGGAGAUAUCAGGAGCAGCGUGCAAGAUUGCACAUUGAGUUUUAUAAGGAGCGCUUCAAUCAGUCUGGAGGUAUCCAUGUCCUCCAGGUGUCUCAUGGCUGUGAAUGGGAUGAUGAGACUGGAGAAGUUAAUGGUUUUGAUGUAGUCAGUUAUGAUGGAGAAGAUGUCUUAAUAUUGGAUGUGAAGGCACAGAGAUGGAUCGCUAUGAAACCACAGGCACUAAGUUACCAGCUCAGGUAUAACAAGGACAAAGGUUGGCUGCAGUUCAUGGAUCACCGGUUGCUGAAGGAGUGUCCCGAGAGCCUGAAGAGGAGUUUGGACUACGGGAAGAGCACGCUGCAGAGAACAGAGCUUCCCUCGGUGUUUCUCCUGCAGAAGACUCCCUCGUCUCCAGUCAGCUGCCUUGCCACAGGUUUCUACCCUCACAGAGCCGCCAUCUUCUGGAGGAAAGAUGGAGAGGAGGUCCACGAGCAGGUGGACCACGAUGAGCUCCUGAACAACCAUGAUGGAACCUUCCAGAUGAGUGUGGACCUGAACGUGUCACUGAUCAAAGCUGACGACUGGAGGAGGUACCACUGUGUUUUCCAGCUCUCAGGUGUUGAGGUCAUCGUCACCGAGCUGGACCCAGCACGGAUCAGGACUAACUGGGUUGAGGAGUCGUCAUCACUCCUCAUCACUGUGGCUGCAGUGAUCAUCGUCCUCACAGCGUUCAUCAUCGUCCUCACAGUUUACAGAAGGAGAAAAGGUGAGAGGCUGAAACUUGUUGCUGCUGUCAGUCCUCCUCUGUGUGCUCCAUGUGAAGUGAAGUGAAGGAGGUGAAGCACAGAAACUACAGGCUGACGUUCAGCUCAUCAUAAAUUGAGGCUUCAUUUAAACCACGAGUUGAUCUUCCUCAUCAUCACACCCAGGAACCUUCACACUCUCCUGAAGACGAUCAGCUCUCUCAGGAGUCAGAGUCCUGACUCCACACAGCUCUGAGCAGACAGUAAGUUCAUCUCCAUCAUCUCCAUCUCAGUUUUUACUCAUGAGACAUGAAGGACGAGAUCCUGCUGACUCAGCAGUGAAAAUGGAUGUGAAAUCUUCAGACAUUUAAAGAAAAGUGAAGCCUCCAAACCAGGAACAACUAUAACUUUGAACACUUAAAUUAAAGUCUCAACAGAAGAAGAAAACAUAAGGCAACAAAAUCAACCAGGACAAAUGUUCAAAUCCCAAGAAUGACCCUUGAUGAGGUCAUGAAGUCUCUAGGUGUUGUUUUACCUGGACGGUGAUCAGCUGAGCAGCUCCUGCAGUAAUGAAUGGAUCAGUUAGAGUGUCCACGAAUGUAAUCUGAAGGUUUGUUGGAAAGAUGAACUGGAGCAAGACGAGAUGUCGUUUCAGGAACGUGAGGAUUUUUGUUUGUUACUUGGCUGAAGACGACAGCAGCUGCUUUGUGUGGACUGAAGAAAUGGAGACAGAUCAUCCAACCUGUUUAAAAGAGUCAGUAACUCUUUGAAAGAAAAGCUUGUUACUCAGUUGCUGUUGAUCUUUGUUUUUGUGAUGGGCUGGUUUGUUUACAGACGUAUAUGCUAACUCACUUUUACACCACAGUAUAAAUUAAUAGUUCAUGUAAAUAUAUAUUUGAUAUAUUUCUAUAAAACAAAAGCUGCUCCGCCUGAAAACAAGACUGAAUACUGACAAGUGUUAAUGUUGAUGUUUUAUAUUUGUAAAAAUGGGAAAUUUGAGCUCCUUGUAUAAACUAAUGGUAAUUAAAUGCAAUAGAUAUUCACCUGUUCUUCCUCCUGCAGUCAGAAAGUCUCACUGAAUGGUUAAUAGAUGAAUGUCCACACUGCUGUCAGUGUGCUGCCACAGGAAGUGUUAUCAGCUGCUCUCAUGUGAGAUCAGAUGUCCUGGAAUAUGUUCUGUGUGUUUUACAGUUACUGUUUAAUGUUGUUCAGGCUGAAACACUCGUUCAUGUUCAGCAUUACACACAUGAAUUGAGGAAAUAAAAUAUUUUUUGACAAAACAAGAA